CUUAGGUGCACUAUUCUCAUUCGAAAUGCACGUUUUUUUCGUCUGUCUGCUUAUCUGCUUAUGCACACACAAAAAAAAACGGGAGGGUGGCGAAGGAGUAACUCAAGUGUGGCGAAGACGGAAUACAUACGCUGGCGGAAGUGCUGUUUUAGUCCUUGAGGAGAGGGUCUUAAUGAUAAGUUGUGAAGAUGCGUGCAUUGUGUGUUUGUCCUUUGCCUUCCGGCCGGAAAAAGGGGCUGUUAUCUGCGAUCUAAGAAACUGCCAGGCUGUACUUGUAAGGAUAUAACUGGGGUGGAACAUUCGGGCCCUUUCCCACAGAUAUUCCACGCACGAAACUACUUUCCCUUACUACCCGCGUACGAAGGCACGAAGAUCGUACUUUUUUUUAUAUAAAAUUGUACCGACUUAAAUCAAAUGAAAUCGAAAAGGUGUAAUUAUUUGAAAGGACGGCGCUACGUGCCACACAGCCAACGAAUCAAUCGAUGUUCUAUGAACAAUUUUUGAAAAUCGAAUAAUCAGAAGAAUGUAAAUUGGCCUCCGGGACGCUGCGAUUUGACGCCGC